ACGGGAGGCAGCAGUGGGGAAUAUUGCACAAUGGGCGCAAGCCUGAUGCAGCGAUGCCGCGUGAGGGAGGAAGGUUUUCGGAUUGUAAACCUCUGUCAACAGGGACGAAAAUGACGGUACCUGUGAAGGAAGCUCCGGCUAACUACGUGCCAGCAGCCGCGGUAAUACGUAGGGAGCAAGCGUUAUCCGGAAUUACUGGGUGUAAAGGGAGUGUAGGCGGGACUGUAAGUCAGAUGUGAAAUAUGCCGGCUCAACUGGCAGACUGCAUUUGAAACUGCGGUUCUUGAGUGAAGUAGAGGUAAGCGGAAUUCCUAGUGUAGCGGUGAAAUGCGUAGAUAUUAGGAGGAACAUCAGUGGCGAAGGCGGCUUACUGGGCCUUAACUGACGCUGAGGCUCGAAAGCGUGGGGAGCAAACAGGAUUAGAUACCCUGGUA
rnacentral:rRNA from 1 species